GAUGAGAACGCAGCGAAAUGCGAUACGUAAUGUGAAUUGCAGAAUUCAGUGAAUCAUCGAAUCUUUGAACGCAUAUUGCGCUCUCUGGUAUUCCGGAGAGCAUGCUUGUUUGAGUAUCAGUAAACACCUCAACUUCCAUAUCUUUUUUGAAAUGGGAGUUGGACUUGAGUGAUCCCAACGCUUUUCCUCACCGAAAAGUGGCGGGUUACUUGAAAUGCAGGUGCAGCUGGACUUUUCUCUGAGCUAUAAGCAUAUCUAUUUAGUCUGCCUAAAAAACAGAUUAUUACCUUUGCUGCAGCUAACAUAAAGGAGAUUAGUUCUUGUGCUGACUGAUGCAGGAUUCACAAAGACAGGCUUCGGCCGACUUUGUAAACUCGAUCUCAAAUCAAGUAAGACUACCCGCUGAACUUAAGCAUAUCAAUAAGCGGAGGA
rnacentral:misc_RNA from 1 species